rnacentral:rRNA from 1 species
UGGCGCACGGGUGCGUAACGCGUGGGAAUCUGCCCUUGGGUUCGGAAUAACUUCGGGAAACUGAAGCUAAUACCGGAUGAUGACGAAAGUCCAAAGAUUUAUCGCCCAGGGAUGAGCCCGCGUAGGAUUAGCUAGUUGGUGGGGUAAAGGCUCACCAAGGCAACGAUCCUUAGCUGGUCUGAGAGGAUGAUCAGCCACACUGGGACUGAGACACGGCCCAGACUCCUACGGGAGGCAGCAGUAGGGAAUAUUGGACAAUGGGCGAAAGCCUGAUCCAGCAAUGCCGCGUGAGUGAUGAAGGCCUUAGGGUUGUAAAGCUCUUUUACCCGAGAUGAUAAUGACAGUAUCGGGAGAAUAAGCUCCG